UACAGAGGGUGCAAGCGUUAAUCGGAAUUACUGGGCGUAAAGGGUGCGUAGGUGGUUAGAUAAGUUGGGCGUGAAAUCCCCGGGCUUAACCUGGGAACUGCGUUCAAGACUGACUGGCUAGAGUAUGGUAGAGGUAAGUGGAAUUUCAGGUGUAGCGGUGAAAUGCGUAGAUAUCUGAAGGAACACCAGUGGCGAAGGCGACUUACUGGACUGAUACUGACACUGAGGCACGAAAGCGUGGGGAGCAAACAGG
rnacentral:rRNA from 1 species